rfam:Microgenomates bacterium GW2011_GWC1_43_11 TV63_C0032, whole genome shotgun sequence.
GGGUCGGUAGCUCAAUGGUAGAGCAGCAGCCUUUUAAGCUGUUGGUUCCGGGUUCGAGUCCCGGCCGGCUCA